rnacentral:rRNA from 1 species
UACGUAGGGAGCAAGCGUUGUCCGGAAUCAUUGGGCGUAAAGCGCGCGUAGGUGGCCCGGUAAGUCCGCUCUGAAAGUCACAGGCUCAACCUGUGAAAGCGGGUGGAUACUGCCGGGCUAGAGUCCGGAAGAGGCGAGUGGAAUUCCUGGUGUAGCGGUGGAAUGCGCAGAUAUCAGGAGGAACACCAACGGCGAAGGCAGCUCGCUGGGACGGUACUGACACUGAGGCGCGAAAGCGUGGGGAGCGAACCGG